GUGCCAGCCGCCGCGGUAAUACGUAGGCAGCGAGCGUUGUUCGGAGUUACUGGGCGUAAAGAGUGUGUAGGCGGUUGGCCAAGUCUGGUGUGAAAUCUCCCGGCUUAACUGGGAGGGUGCGCCGGAUACUGGUCGGCUAGAGUGUGGGAGAGGGAAGCGGAAUUCCUGGUGUAGCGGUGAAAUGCGUAGAUAUCAGGAGGAACACCUGUGGUGUAGACGGCUUCCUGGACCACUACUGACGCUGAGACACGAAAGUGUGGGGAGCAAACAGGAUUAGAAACCCCGGUAGUCC
rnacentral:rRNA from 1 species